rnacentral:rRNA from 1 species
CCUACGGGUGGCAGCAGUGGGGAAUAUUGGACAAUGGGGGGAAGCCUGAUCCAGCGACGCCGCGUGAAUGAAGAAGUCUUUCGGUAUGUAAAGCUCUAUCAGCAGGGAAGAAAAUGAAGGUACCUGACUCAGAAGCCCCGGCUAACUACGUGGCAGCAGCCGCGGUAAUACGCAGGGGGCAAGCGUUAUCCGGAUUUACGGGGUGUAAAGGGGGCGUAGACGGUGCGACAAGUCUGAUGUGAAAGGUCGGGGCCAAACCCCGGGACUGCAUUGGAAACUGUUGGACUGGAGUAGAGGAGAGGUAGGCGGAAUGCGUAGUGUAGCGGUGAAAUGCGUAGAUAUUAGGAGGAACACCAGUGGCGAAGGCGGCUUACUGGACGGUAACUGACGUUGAGGCUCGAAAGCGUGGGGAGCAAACAGGAUUAGAUACCCGUGUAGUC